AGAGGGCUUAUGCUGUGAUUUUUGCAAAGGGUCGACUCUUUAUCCUUAAGUGUUGGCUCAUCUUCAUCAGGAGUCACCUCUUUAAACAUAAGGGUCGGCUCAUGCUUUGGUUUUUUGGCCGGCGCUGAGACUGAGCAGGGGUUGACUCUUCAAAUGCAAGGGUCGACUCUUCAAUUUUGGGGGUCGGCUCAUUUUGAACGAGGGUCAACUCUUCAAGCUUUUCUCAAGCGGUAAGAACUUUCUGUUUACUUUAAACUACACAAAGGUCGACUCAUAUUUUGCGGGGGUCGACUCAUUGACUGUGUUCCUUGAAUAAAACUUAUCGGAAUCAACUUAAACUUGUCCUUUUUGCUUAGGAGUUGACUCAAGUCUUUCA
rnacentral:lncRNA from 1 species